rnacentral:lncRNA from 1 species
UUGGAUUUCGACCGUGCUUAAUGAUCCAUCAGAGGAGGAGGAGGAGGAAAAAGAAGAGGAGCCCAUGAGCUCGAAUUCUGCAAGGAUGUAGUGACAGAUGGGCAGAGAGGGGGGGGUUAGGGGAUCGGUUUCUGAAGGGAGAAGGAGAAGGUUGGUGUAUAAAGAAGUGGUGGAAGGUACAACAUUGAUGGGGUGGGUGGUUUUGUGCUGAGAGAAAGAGAGAGAGGAACAGGUGGCUUCCAAACCGCGACCGGUCGCGGGAUCCAUGCCAACAAACCAUUGGAAAAGCUUGCCUGGUCUGCCCUCUCUGAGUUGAUUCGGUGUGGUUGAUACGAUAAUAUAUGAUGCAUGUAGCGAUCGAGCAGUUCAGUGUCAUCACAUUAUUCCCUCCAAACCCUGAACACUUCUAAUGCUAAUGGGACGCAGUGACGUCGCCGUAGUUAAAGCCAGUCGAUCCUC